rnacentral:rRNA from 1 species
UACGAAGGGGGCUAGCGUUGCUCGGAAUGACUGGGCGUAAAGGGCGCGUAGGCGGAUGGUACAGUCAGAUGUGAAAUUCCCGGGCUCAACCUGGGGGCUGCAUUUGAUACGUAUGAUCUUGAGUGGGGAAGAGGGUCGUGGAAUUCCCAGUGUAGAGGUGAAAUUCGUAGAUAUUGGGAAGAACACCCGUGGCGAAGGCGGCUCUCUGGGACGGUACUGACGCUGAGACGCGAAAGCGUGGGGAGCGAACAGG